UCCUACGGGAGGCAGCAGUGAGGAAUAUUGGUCAAUGGGCGUAAGCCUGAACCAGCCAAGUAGCGUGCAGGAUGACGGCCCUACGGGUUGUAAACUGCUUUUAUGCGGGGAUAAAGCGGCGUACGUGUACGCCGUUGCAGGUACCGCAUGAAUAAGGACCGGCUAAUUCCGUGCCAGCAGCCGCGGUAAUACGGAAGGUCCUGGCGUUAUCCGGAUUUAUUGGGUUUAAAGGGAGCGCAGGCGGGAGGUUAAGCGUGACGUGAAAUGUAGCCGCUCAACGGCUGAGUUGCGUCGCGGACUGGCUUUCUUGAGUAGGUACGACGGAGGCGGAAUUCGUGGUGUAGCGGUGAAAUGCUUAGAUAUCACGAGGAACCCCGAUUGCGAAGGCAGCCUCCGAGUCCCUUACUGACGCUAAUGCUCGAAGGUGCGGGUAUCGAACAGGAUUAGAUACCCUGGUAGUCC
rnacentral:rRNA from 1 species